rnacentral:rRNA from 1 species
GGCUCAGAACGAACGCUGGCGGCAGGCUUAACACAUGCAAGUCGAGCGCCCCGCAAGGGGAGCGGCAGACGGGUGAGUAACGCGUGGGAAUCUACCCUUGACUACGGAAUAACGCAGGGAAACUUGUGCUAAUACCGUAUGUGUCCUUCGGGAGAAAGAUUUAUCGGUCAAGGAUGAGCCCGCGUUGGAUUAGCUAGUUGGUGGGGUAAAGGCCUACCAAGGCGACGAUCCAUAGCUGGUCUGAGAGGAUGAUCAGCCACAUUGGGACUGAGACACGGCCCAAACUCCUACGGGAGGCAGCAGUGGGGAAUAUUGGACAAUGGGCGCAAGCCUGAUCCAGCCAUGCCGCGUGAGUGAUGAAGGCCCUAGGGUUGUAAAGCUCUUUCACCGGAGAAGAUAAUGACGGU